GUACUGGUGUUACUGGUUCCUACCUUCUGACGAACCAGUCAUGUCAUUCAUUUGGUGUGGCGGGGAAUCAGGACUGUUACUUUGAAAAAAUUAGAGUGUUUAAAGCAGGCUCGCGCUUGAAUACAUUAGCAUGGAAUAAUGAAAUAGGACGUUGAUCCUAUUUUGUUGGUUUCUAGGAUUGACGUAAUGAUUAAUAGGGAUAGUUGGGGGCAUUAGUAUUCAAUUGUCAGAGGUGAAAUUCUUGGAUUUAUUGAAGACUAACUACUGCGAAAGCAUUUGCCAAGGAUGGUUUCAUUAAUCAAGAACGGAAGUUAGGGGAUCGAAGACGAUCAGAUACCGUCGUAGUCUUAACCAUAAACUAUGCCGACUAGGGAUCGGAUGAUGUUAAUUUUUUAAUGACUCAUUCGGCGCCUUACG
rnacentral:rRNA from 1 species